CGUCAAGUCCUCAUGGCCUUUAUGCCCCGGGCUACACACGUGCUACAAUGGGCGGUACAAAGGGCAGCGAACCCGCGAGGGGGAGCGAAUCCCACAAAACCGCUCUCAGUUCGGAUUGCAGUCUGCAACUCGACUGCAUGAAGGUGGAAUCGCUAGUAAUCGCGGAUCAGAACGCCGCGGUGAAUACGUUCCCGGGCCUU
rnacentral:rRNA from 1 species